GAUGAACGCUGGCGGCGUGCCUAAUACAUGCAAGUCGAGCGAACAGACGAGGAGCUUGCUCCUCUGACGUUAGCGGCGGACGGGUGAGUAACACGUGGAUAACCUACCUAUAAGACUGGGAUAACUUCGGGAAACCGGAGCUAAUACCGGAUAAUAUAUUGAACCGCAUGGUUCAAUAGUGAAAGACGGUUUUGCUGUCACUUAUAGAUGGAUCCGCGCCGCAUUAGCUAGUUGGUAAGGUAACGGCUUACCAAGGCAACGAUGCGUAGCCGACCUGAGAGGGUGAUAGGCCACACUGGAGCUGAGACACGGUCCAGACUCCUACGGGAGGCAGCAGUAGGGAAUCUUCCGCAAUGGGCGAAAGCCUGACGGAGCAACGCCGCGUGAGUGAUGAAGGUCUUCGGAUCGUAAAACUCUGUUAUUAGGGAAGAACAAAUGUGUAAGUAACUAUGCACGUCUUGACGGUACCUAAUCAGAAAGCCACGGCUAACUACGUG
rnacentral:rRNA from 1 species